rnacentral:rRNA from 13 species
ACUUACCUGCCGAAUCGCUCAGCCCUGAAAAUGGAUGGCGCUCAAGCAUGCGACCGAUACAUGACCGAUGAGGUCGCAAUCAAGACCCAUCGUGUAGGGGGGCGUGGAGGUCAUGCGGCGAAGGCUAACGCGUGAGCGUGGCUGGAGCGGCCUCUAGUGCCGAUCUUGGUGGUAGUAGCGAAUAUUCCUGUGAGAUCCUCGAAGACUGAAGUGGAGAAAGGUUCCUGGCUUACCGCGUUGGAGCUGGGGUGAGUCGAUCCUAAGCGGGAGGAGAACUCCUCGAAUACAAGGCAUCUUGCAUGUCCUUGACCGUCGAAAGGGAAAGCCGCUAACAUUCGGCUACAGCAUUGGGGUGUCUAAGGCGGCAACGCAAAAUGACCCAAGGGAAGGUGCACAGGGACCGGGAGCAAGUUAUCUUGUUGCUGGAAUCAUGGCCAGGCCUUGGAAAUGGGUCGUCCAGAGAGAGGGCUCGGUCCACGAUGAGCGGUCUUUAUGCCGUCCCGAGCUUCCUGUGCAUUCCUUGAAAACCUUGGUGACCAUCUAACGCCCGAGGCUAUUGCUGUCGUACUAUAAUCCGCAACAGGUCUCCUAGGUUAGCAGCCUCUAGUCUAAUGGAAGAAUGUGGGUAAGGGAAGUCGGCAAGCCAGCUCCGUAACUUUGGGAUAAGGGGUGGCUCUGAGGGCUGGGUGUAUUCGGCCUGGGAACGCCUGGUGAGGUGUGACGCGGAGGGUCAUCUCGGUGGUCCUCGCUGUGCCACUCGCCGCUAUUACCGGUAUCCUUAUGCACUGCGAACAGCCAGCUCAGAACUGGCACGGACAAGGGGAAUCUGACUGUCUAAUUAAAAC